rnacentral:rRNA from 1 species
AUUGAACGCUGGCGGCAUGCCUUACACAUGCAAGUCGAACGGUAACAGGUCUUCGGAUGCUGACGAGUGGCGAACGGGUGAGUAAUACAUCGGAACGUGCCUAGUAGUGGGGGAUAACUACUCGAAAGAGUGGCUAAUACCGCAUGAGAUCUACGGAUGAAAGCAGGGGAUCGCAAGACCUUGUGCUACUAGAGCGGCCGAUGGCAGAUUAGCUAGUUGGUGGGGUAAAGGCCGACCAAGGCAACGAUCUGUAGUUGGUCUGAGAGGACGACCAGCCACACUGGGACUGAGACACGGCCCAGACUCCUACGGGAGGCAGCAGUGGGGAAUUUUGGACAAUGGGCGAGAGCCUGAUCCAGCAAUGCCGCGUGCAGGAUGAAGGCCUUCGGGUUGUAAACUGCUUUUGUACGGAACGAAAAGCCCCGGGUUAAUACCCUGGGGUCAUGACGGUACCGUAAGAAUAAGCACCGGCUAACUACGUGCCAGCCGCCGCCGUAA